rnacentral:lncRNA from 1 species
CGCACCGAGGCCUGAGGACCCGAAAGCCGGGCGCGGGGAGAUGACCGGUGGCUCGUGACGGUCCCACGGGCAAAAUCUUCCAUCGCCCGGGGCUGAGACUUGUCAAACUGCCCUCUACGGUCACCCGGAAAGUAGGAGGCUUUUUCUGCAGAGGGGAAAAAAAUCAAAAAGAGCCGUUCCAUCCCCCCUCCAAGGACUGGGUUUGAAUUGCUUUUCAUCUGCAGUGGCUGUGAUUCAGCGUCCCUCUUAGCAGCAGGCAAUGACAGAGGCAGGAGAGGGGAAAAAAAAAAAGAAAGAAAGAAAAAACACAGCAAAUGAAUCAAACGGACGUAGCAGGCAAGAGUGUGGUUAUCGUUGGACCAGGAUUCAGGAUCUGACUGAGUAGCUGACUCUUAAUCCAGUUUGUGUUGAUCACCAGGAGGAUCUGGACCUCAGUAUUACCACAUCUAGAGGUGAUAUGCCAACUCCACCUUUGCCUUCCACCAUGUUUGGAAGCUCCCUGAGGCCUCACCAGGAGCAGAUGCUCGUCCCAUGCUUCCUAUAAGCCUGCAGAACUGGAAAAGAAAGCUGGAUAAAGUAUUUAUAGAAGAUAGAGGACCUGUGGUGGCUCAUGCCUGUAAUCCAAGGUGGAAGGAUUGCUUGAGGCCAGAAGUUCAAGACCAGUCCAAGCAACAUAGCAAGGCCCCAUCUCUACAAAAAAUGAAAAUAAAAUUAGCCGAGCGUGAUGGCUCAUGCCUGUAGUUCUAGCUUCUAGAGAGGCUGAGGCAGGAGGAUUGCUUGAGUCCAGGAGUUCAAGAUUACAGUGAGCUAUGGUCACACCACUGCACUCCAGCCUGGGUGAUGGAGUGAGACUGUCUCAAUAAAAAGACAAAAAGGCUGGCCAGGGGCAGUGGUUCAUGCCUGUAAACCCAGCACUUUGGGAGGCAAAGGCAGGAGGAUUGCUUAAGCCCAGGAAUUUGAGAUCAGCCUGGACAACAUGGUCAAGGAAGCUUUUCCUGAUCCACUAACUAAGGACAAUCAAACCCUUCAUGAUCUAGAAUCUGGAGACUGUGUCUUCUGGGAAUAGUAUCAGAGAAAGACUGCCCUUACUGCCCACAUGUAGCAAAACUUUGAGACGUUGAAUUAUGGGUCCAUAAUCUCACAACUCAGAGGGGCACCUCUAGACUCUUGGAACUGUAUAUCUAUUGGAGACUUUAAGGUAAAGCUGAACAGAGAGACGUUUUUCUCCAGAAGCAGACAGCACCAUAGUCAUGGACAGCUUUCCCAAGAUCACAGAUCAAGACUUCUCUGCCGUCAUGAGACUCAUAACCUCUUAAUUUUUUCUUGCUUAUGCUUCUGUGAACAAUAGAAUUGGAAAAGGGGUGGUCCCGCGUGCACCCAUAGGGUAUACUUUUAUUUGUGGAGGAUUUUGCUGCCAACCUUAUACAUGGGCAAACUUAUGCCUUCAUGGAUGGAAGAUAAAGGGCUAAUAUGGGUUAGAAAUUUUAAUGGUACCUUUGUUUCUCCAUAAUCAUUCAGAAACAGAACACUGGUCCACUCUUGUUAACCUACAUCAUAGGUUGAAGAGAACAUUGCCAGGAGGCCUUCAUCCUUCCAGAUGGGCACCAUUUGUUGGGUCUUUUUCCGUGGUAUGAAGAAAAUGAAGCAAUGAUUAGAAAUUGGUCCCUCGGCCGGGCACAAUGGCUCAUGCCUGUAAUCCCAUCACUUUGGCAGGCCGAGGCGGGUGGAUCACCUGAGGUCAGGAGUUUGAGACCAGCCUGACCAAUGUGGUGAAACGCCAUCUCUACUAAAAAUACAAAAAUUAGCUGGGUGUGAUGGUGCACACCUGUAAUCCAGCUACUCGGGAGGCUGAGACAGGAGAAUUGCUUGAACCUGGGAGGCAGAGGUUGCAGUGAGCCAAGAUCACCCCACUGCAUUCCAGGUUGGGCAACAGAGCAAGACUCUGUCUCAAAAAAAAAAGAAGAAAGAAAGAAAUUGAUCCCUCAUAAUAGGCUGUAUAGCAGAUUCUACUGCAAAGGCUAUGGUUGCACAACAGACUUCUUUGAAUUUGCUUGCUAAACUUUUACUGGAUAAUACUGGGAUUACAGGUGUGAGCCACUGUGCCCAGCCUCUCCUGUUUAACUGUAUUCAUUCUAAUGUUUACUUACUUCUUUAAUUUGUAAAAUUGGGUCACUUAGAGUUUUUUUAGCCUAUCUUGCCAUUUAGCCACUGUUACUGAUAAUUUGGAUGGAAAAGAAAAAUAAAUUAUAUCACCUCUCAUCUUCAGUGUAUAUAUGUGUUAACUUAGUAAAUAUAGUAUUCUUUCUCGUUCCUAAUGAAAAUUUAGUUUACGUACUGAAACACUGCAAACUUUUAUAAAUAUUGUGAUGUAUUUGACCAAUACAAAGGAUCUUUUUAGAAACAGCAAACAGUUCUCAGAUUAUAGGAAUUACUCAUUUAAUGAUAGUUUCUUCUU